AACGAACGCUGGCGGCAUGCCUAACACAUGCAAGUCGAACGAGACCUUCGGGUCUAGUGGCGCACGGGUGCGUAACGCGUGGGAACCUGCCCUUAGGUUCGGAAUAACUCCCCGAAAGGGGUGCUAAUACCGGAUAAUGUCUUCGGACCAAAGAUUUAUCGCCUUUGGAUGGGCCCGCGUUGGAUUAGCUAGUUGGUAGGGUAAAAGCCUACCAAGGCGACGAUCCAUAGCUGGUCUGAGAGGAUGAUCAGCCACACUGGGACUGAGACACGGCCCAGACUCCUACGGGAAGCAGCAGAGGGGAAUAUUGGAAAAGGGGGGAAGUCCUGAUCCAGCAAUGCCGCGUGAGUGAUGAAGGCCUGAGGGAUGAAAAGCGCUUUUAACCGGGAUGAUAAUGACGGUACCGAAAGAAUAAGCUCCGGCUAACUCCGUG
rnacentral:rRNA from 1 species